rnacentral:rRNA from 1 species
UCCAGAGGGUGCAAGCGUUAAUCGGAAUUACUGGGCGUAAAGCGCGCGUAGGCCGUCGAGUAAGUCGGAUGUGAAAUCCCCGGGCUUAACCUGGGAAUUGCAUUCGAUACUGCUUGACUAGAGUGUGGAAGAGGGAAGCGGAAUUUCCGGUGUAGCGGUGAAAUGCGUAGACAUCGGAAGGAACACCAGUGGCGAAGGCGGCUUCCUGGUCCAACACUGACGCUGAGGCGCGAAAGCGUGGGGAGAGAACAGG